rnacentral:rRNA from 1 species
AUACGUAGGUGGCAAGCGUUGUCCGGAAUUAUUGGGCGUAAAGCGCGCGCAGGUGGUUCCUUAAGUCUGAUGUGAAAGCCCCCGGCUCAACCGGGGAGGGUCAUUGGAAACUGGGGAACUUGAGUGCAGAAGGGGAUAGUGGAAUUCCAAGUGUAGCGGUGAAAUGCGUAGAGAUUUGGAGGAACACCAGUGGCGAAGGCGACUGGCUGGUCUGUAACUGACACUGAGGCGCGAAAGCGUGGGGAGCAAACAGGAUUAGAUCCCCUGGUAGUCCACGCCGUAAACGAUGAGUGCUAAGUGUUGGGGGGUUUCCGCCCCUCAGUGCUGCAGCUAACGCAUUAAGCACUCCGCCUGGGGAGUACGGUCGCAAGACUGAAACUCAAAUGAAUUGACGGGG